GGCGUGGCCGGCGCUGCGCUCUUGCUGGUCCACGUGCGCCGCCGUGGGCACGCCCAGGAUGCUGGGGCUCGCUUGCUGGCUGGGACCCCGGAGCCGUCAGUCCACGCACUCCCGGAUGCACUCAACAACCUAAGAACGCAGGAGGGUGCCGGGGAUGGCCCGAGGUGAGGGGCUGCACCACAGACGAACGCCUUGCGCUGCUGGCUGCUUGUACCCAUCUCCGUGGUGCAGUUGGCCCGAUUCCUUGAUGCAUUUCCCUGGUCGGUCUCUCUUACCCCGGUAGCUGGCUUUGGGUUCCCCUUUGUGAUGGGUAGGGGAAAACAAGAUCUGAGAAUUUAAAGGGUCUGAGUUUUUCUUCUUUCUCUCCUCCCACAGCUCGUCCGUAGAUUGGAAUCGCCCUGAAGAUGUAGACCCUCGAGGGAUUUACGUCAUAUCUGCUCCUUCCAUCUACGCUCGGGAGGCCUGACGCGUCUCCUCCAUCCGCACCUGGAGUCAGAGCGUGGAUUUUUGUAUUUGCUCGGUGGUGCCCAGUCUCUGCCCCCAGAGGCUUUGGAGUUCAAUCUUGAAGGGGUGUCUGGGAGAACUUUACUGUUGCAAGUUGUAAAUAAUGGUUAUUUAUAUCCUAUUUUUUCUCACCCCAUCUCUCUAGAAGCACCUAUAAAGGCUAUUAUUGUGAUCAGUUUUGACUAACGAGGCUGAAUGCUUUGUAUUUGAUGUUGGGGCUGAGGGGAAGAGAUUUUGUCUCCUGAGGAGAGUAGUAGACAGGACUCUUUAUGUUGUAGCGGUCGGAAACGACUCAAACUGCUUUAAAUAUAAAAGAAUUUAUGGCUGGGUGCAGUGGCUCACGG
rnacentral:lncRNA from 1 species